AUCAUUAGUGGGUCUAUUCAUGUGUGACAAUAUUCAAGAUGGUCAUUAUGUAAAUCCACUGUGAUAAAGUCAUUUCUGUUUCCAGUUGGUUUGUUUGGAGAGGCUUUUGCUGGUUUGAGAUCCAGGCAGUUUAUUGGCAGUGGCCUCUUUUAAAGGAAAAUUAUUGUGUUUUUCUAAAAUAACUAGUGUGUAUGUAACUGCAGUGGUUCACUUGAUCUUUCCUUCCUUCCAUCAGCAGUAUUGUCUGUCACAGUUUAUUGGUCUUCUUGUGAACUUGGGUCAAAUUAAUCUCUGUGAAGCGCUGUUGUACUUCAGAAAGUGAUCUAACAGGUCUAAGAGGUGAUUUUAGAGUCCUCUUUGGGUCUUCUUGUGAUCAUGGGUCAGCUGAAUGUCUGUGAAGAGCUGUUGUACUUCAGAAAGUGAUCUAACAGGUCUAAGAGGUGAUUUUAGAGUCCUCUUUGGGUCUUCUUGUGAUCAUGGGUCAGCUGAAUGUCUGUGAAGAGCUGUUGUACUUCAGAAAGUGAUCUAACAGGUCUAAGAGGUGAUUUUAGAGUCCUCUUUGGGUCUUCUUGUGAUCAUGGGUCAGCUGAAUGUCUGUGAAGAGCUGUUGUACUUCAGAAAGUGAUCUAACAGGUCUAAGAGGUGAUUUUAGAGUCCUCUUUGGGUCUUCUUGUGAUCAUGGGUCAGCUGAAUGUCUGUGAAGCGCUGUUGUACUUCAGAAAGUGAUCUAACAGGUCUAAGAGGUGAUUUUAGAGUCCUCUUUGGGUCUUCUUGUGAUCAUGGGUCAGCUGAAUGUCUGUGAAGAGCUGUUGUACUUCAGAAAGUGAUCUAACAGGUCUAAGAGGUGAUUUUAGAGUCCUCUUUGGGUCUUCUUGUGAUCAUGGGUCAAAUUAAUCUCUGUGAAGCGCUGUUGUACUUCAGAAAGCGAUCUAGUGGAAGUAACAGAUCUUAAGAGGUGAUUUUAGAGUCCUCUUGUUAAUAACCAUUAUCUGUGUCAAACAAGCAAAACCUCGAAGCUUUAAUCAACUUGGUUUGUUCUUCACAUCUGAUUCUGUACCGUUUCCCUUUAAUGGGACCAGAACCGGUCGAACGUUUAGAAGUGACAGUUGUAAUACAUUUUUGUAUAUUUCUGGUGUUGUCUGGGCCGUUGCAUUACUCAGAACUGUUGACCCAACUCAAUAGGUGGCCUGUCACCAACCCGUGUCUUAUGUUCUAGUUGAGGUGUUCUCCUCAUUAAACAGUAACUGGUGUAUAUUAUGUUCUAGUUGAGGUGUUCUCCUCAUUAAACAGUAACUGGUGUAUAUUAUGUUCUAGUUGAGGUGUUCUCCUCAUUAAACAGUAACUGGUGUAUAUUAUGUUCUGGUUGAGGUGUUCUCCUCAUUAAACAGUAACUGGUGUAUAUUAUGUUCUAGUUGAGGUGUUCUCCUCAUUAAACAGUAACUGGUGUAUAUUAUGUUCUAGUUGAGGUGUUCUCCUCAUUAAACAGUAACUGGUGUAUAUUAUGUUCUGGUUGAGGUGUUCUCCUCAUUAAACAGUAACUGGUGUAUAUUAUGUUCUAGUUGAGGUGUUCUCCUCAUUAAACAGUAACUGGUGUAUAUUAUGUUCUAGUUGAGGUGUUCUCCUCAUUAAACAGUAACUGGUGUAUAUUAUGUUCUAGUUGAGGUGUUCUCCUCAUUAAACAGUAACUGGUGUAUAUUAUGUUCUGGUUGAGGUGUUCUCCUCAUUAAACAGUAACUGGUGUAUAUUAUGUUCUGGUUGAGGUGUUCUCCUCAUUACUCAGAACUGGUGUAUAUUAUGUUCUGGUUGAGGUGUUCUCCUCAUUAAACAGUAACUGGUGUAUAUUAUGUUCUAGUUGAGGUGUUCUCCUCAUUAAACAGUAACUGGUGUAUAUUAUGUUCUAGUUGAGGUGUUCUCCUCAUUAAACAGUAACUGGUGUAUAUUAUGUUCUAGUUGAGGUGUUCUCCUCAUUAAACAGUAACUGGUGUAUAUUAUGUUCUAGUUGAGGUGUUCUCCUCAUUAAACAGUAACUGGUGUAUAUUAUGUUCUAGUUGAGGUGUUCUCCUCAUUAAACAGUAACUGGUGUAUAUUAUGUUCUAGUUGAGGUGUUCUCCUCAUUAAACAGUAACUGGUGUAUAUUAUGUUCUAGUUGAGGUGUUCUCCUCAUUAAACAGUAACUGGUGUAUAUUAUGUUCUAGUUGAGGUGUUCUCCUCAUUAAACAGUAACUGGUGUAUAUUAUGUUCUAGUUGAGGUGUUCUCCUCAUUAAACAGUAACUGGUGUAUAUUAUGUUCUGGUUGAGGUGUUCUCCUCAUUAAACAGUAACUGGUGUAUAUUAUGUUCUGGUUGAGGUGUUCUCCUCAUUAAACAGUAACUGGUGUAUAUUAUGUUCUAGUUGAGGUGUUCUCCUCAUUAAACAGUAACUGGUGUAUAUUAUGUUCUGGUUGAGGUGUUCUCCUCAUUAAACAGUAACUGGUGUAUAUUAUGUUCUAGUUGAGGUGUUCUCCUCAUUAAACAGUAACUGGUGUAUAUUAUGUUCUAGUUGAGGUGUUCUCCUCAUUAAACAGUAACUGGUGUAUAUUAUGUUCUGGUUGAGGUGUUCUCCUCAUUAAACAGUAACUGGUGUAUAUUAUGUUCUAGUUGAGGUGUUCUCCUCAUUAAACAGUAACUGGUGUAUAUUAUGUUCUAGUUGAGGUGUUCUCCUCAUUAAACAGUAACUGGUGUAUAUUAUGUUCUAGUUGAGGUGUUCUCCUCAUUAAACAGUAACUGGUGUAUAUUAUGUUCUGGUUGAGGUGUUCUCCUCAUUAAACAGUAACUGGUGUAUAUUAUGUUCUAGUUGAGGUGUUCUCCUCAUUAAACAGUAACUGGUGUAUAUUAUGUUCUAGUUGAGGUGUUCUCCUCAUUAAACAGUAACUGGUGUAUAUUAUGUUCUAGUUGAGGUGUUCUCCUCAUUAAACAGUAACUGGUGUAUAUUAUGUUCUGGUUGAGGUGUUCUCCUCAUUAAACAGUAACUGGUGUAUAUUAUGUUCUAGUUGAGGUGUUCUCCUCAUUAAACAGUAACUGGUGUAUAUUAUGUUCUAGUUGAGGUGUUCUCCUCAUUAAACAGUAAUUGGGGUAGUCUGGUAGCUGUACCAUUUUAGCCCUAGUCGGCAGGUGUUACUUCAAUAUACUACAGUGUUGUCUGCAAAAACACUACAGUAAAUACUAGUCAUGUCUGCAAAAACACAUGAGUUAAGACUACAGUAAUGCCCACAAAAACACGACAGUGAAUACUACAAUAUACUACAGUAAUGCCCGCAAAAACACGACAGUGAA